rnacentral:rRNA from 1 species
ACAGAGGGUGCAAGCGUUAAUCGGAAUUACUGGGCGUAAAGGGUGCGUAGGUGGACUGAUAAGUCGGAUGUGAAAUCCCUGGGCUUAACCUAGGAACUGCAUUCGAUACUGUUGGUCUAGAGUACGGUAGAGGUAAGUGGAAUUUCCGGUGUAGCGGUGAAAUGCGUAGAUAUCGGAAGGAACAUCAGUGGCGAAGGCGACUUACUGGACCGAUACUGACACUGAGGCACGAAAGCGUGGGGAGCAAACAGGA